UACGUAGGGGGCGAGCGUUGUCCGGAAUCAUUGGGCGUAAAGAGCUCGUAGGCGGCUCAGUUAGUCGGCUGUGAAAGCCCGAGGCUCAACCUCGGAACUGCAGUCGAUACUGCUGUGGCUAGAGUCCGGUAGAGGAGAGUGGAAUUCCCGGUGUAGCGGUGGAAUGCGCAGAUAUCGGGAGGAACACCAGUAGCGAAGGCGGCUCUCUGGGCCGGAACUGACGCUGAGGAGCGAAAGCGUGGGUAGCAAACAGGAUUAGAAACCCCCGUAGUCC
rnacentral:rRNA from 1 species